AUUGAACGCUGGCGGAAUGCUUUACACAUGCAAGUCGAACGGCAGCACGGACUUCGGUCUGGUGGCGAGUGGCGAACGGGUGAGUAAUACAUCGGAACGUGCCCAGUCGUGGGGGAUAACGUAGCGAAAGCUACGCUAAUACCGCAUACGAUCUACGGAUGAAAGCGGGGGAUCGCAAGACCUCGCGCGAUUGGAGCGGCCGAUGGCAGAUUAGGUAGUUGGUAGGGUAAAGGCCUACCAAGCCGACGAUCUGUAGCUGGUCUGAGAGGAUGAUCAGCCACACUGGGACUGAGACACGGCCCAGACUCCUACGGGAGGCAGCAGUGGGGAAUUUUGGACAAUGGGCGCAAGCCUGAUUCAGCCAUUCCGCGUGCAGGAUGAAGGCCUUCGGGUUGUAAACUGCUUUUGUACAGAACGAAAAGGCUCUGGUUAAUACCUGGGGCUCAUGACGGUACUGUAAGAAUAAGCACCGACUAACUACGUGCCAGCCGCCGCCGUAA
rnacentral:rRNA from 1 species